rnacentral:rRNA from 1 species
UACGUAGGGUGCGAGCGUUGUCCGGAAUUAUUGGGCGUAAAGAGCUCGUAGGCGGUCUGUCGCGUCGGUCGUGAAAACUUGGGGGCUUAACCCUGAGCUUGCGGUCGAUACGGGCAUGACUGGAGUUCGGCAGGGGAGACUGGAAUUCCUGGUGUAGCGGUGAAAUGCGCAGAUAUCGGGAGGAACACCAAUGGCGAAGGCAGCUCGCUGGGACGGUACUGACGCUGAGGAGCGAAAGCGUGGGGAG